GGUGCCUCUCGGGUGACAAACCCUGGAAUCAGGCUCCCUCCUCUCUGGUUCCGGGUGCGUCACCUGAGAACCGCA
rfam:Myotis brandtii contig185562, whole genome shotgun sequence.